rnacentral:rRNA from 1 species
GCGAGUCUUUGUAGUAAUACAAGGCAUACGGCUCAGUAACGCGUAGUCAACCUACCCUAUGGACAAGUAUAAUCUCGGGAAACUGAGCAUAAUUCUUGAUAGAUCAUAAUGCCUGGAAUGGUUUAUGGUUAAAAUGAUUCGUCGCCAUAGGAUGGGACUGCGGCCUAUCAGCUUGUUGGUGAGGUAAUGGCCCACCAAGGCGAUUACAGGUACGGGCUCUGAGAGGAGAAGCCCGGAGAUGGGUACUGAGACAAGGACCCCGGCCCUAUGGGGCGCAGCAGGCGAGAAAACUUUGCAAUGUGCGAAAGCACGACAAGGUUAGUCCGAGUGAUUUCUGCUAAAGAGAUCUUUUGC